rnacentral:rRNA from 1 species
ACACAUGCAAGUCGAGCGGUAACAGGAGAAGAUUGCUUCUCGCUGACGAGCGGCGGACGGGUGAGUAAUACUUAGGAAUCUACCUAGUAGUGGGGGAUAGCUCGGGGAAACUCGAAUUAAUACCGCAUACGACCUACGGGAGAAAGGGGGCAACUUGUUGCUCUCGCUAUUAGAUGAGCCUAAGUCGGAUUAGCUAGAUGGUGGGGUAAAGGCCUACCAUGGCGACGAUCUGUAGCUGGUCUGAGAGGAUGAUCAGCCACACCGGGACUGAGACACGGCCCGGACUCCUACGGGAGGCAGCAGUGGGGAAUAUUGGACAAUGGGGGCAACCCUGAUCCAGCCAUGCCGCGUGUGUGAAGAAGGCCUUUUGGUUGUAAAGCACUUUAAGCAGUGAAGAAGACUCCAUGGUUAAUACCCAUGGACGAUGACAUUAGCUGCAGAAUAAGCACCGGCUAACUCUGUGCCAGCAGCCGCGGUAAUACAGAGGGUGCAAGCGUUAAUCGGAAUUACUGGGCGUAAAGCGAGCGUAGGUGGCUUGAUAAGUCAGAUGUGAAAGCCCCGGGCUUAACCUGGGAACGGCAUCUGAUACUGUUAGGCUAGAGUAGGUGAGAGGAAGGUAGAAUUCCAGGUGUAGCGGUGAAAUGCGUAGAGAUCUGGAGGAAUACCGAUGGCGAAGGCAGCCUUCUGGCAUCAUACUGACACUGAGGUUCGAAAGCGUGGGUAGCAAACAGGAUU